GCGGGUUUAGCUCAGUUGGGAGAGCGUCAGACUGAAGUAAAAACUUCAAUCAAUAUCAAACGAUAUCUGAAGGUCGUGUGUUCGAUCCACACAAACCGCA
rfam:Fusarium oxysporum f. sp. cubense race 4 unplaced genomic scaffold scaffold26, whole genome shotgun sequence.